rnacentral:rRNA from 1 species
CCUACGGGCGGCAGCAGUGAGGAAUAUUGGUCAAUGGACGCAAGUCUGAACCAGCCAUGCCGCGUGCAGGAAGACGGCUCUAUGAGUUGUAAACUGCUUUUGUACGAGGGUAAACGCAGAUACGCGUAUCUGUCUGAAAGUAUCGUACGAAUAAGGAUCGGCUAACUCCGUGCCAGCAGCCGCGGUAAUACGGAGGAUUCAAGCGUUAUCCGGAUUUAUUGGGUUUAAAGGGUGCGUAGGCGGUCGGAUAAGUUAGAGGUGAAAUCCCGAGGCUCAACUUCGGAAUUGCCUCUGAUACUGGUAGGCUAGAGAGUAGUUGAGGUAGGCGGAAUGUAUGGUGUAGCGGUGAAAUGCUUAGAGAUCAUACAGAACACCGAUUGCGAAGGCAGCUUACCAAGCUACUUCUGACGUUGAGGCACGAAAGCGUGGGGAGCAAACAGGAUUAGAUACCCUAGUAGUC